UUGGAGGGCAAGUCUGGUGCCAGCAGCCGCGGUAAUUCCAGCUCCAAUAGCGUAUAUUAAAGUUGUUGCAGUUAAAAAGCUCGUAGUUGAACCUCGGGAUCAAUGGGUCGGUCAUGCCCUCGGUAUGUACUGACCUCAUUGGUUCUCACCUUCUAAGGAACCUUAAUGUCAUUAAUUUGAUGUUUUGGGGAAUUAGGACUGUUACCUUGAAAAAAUUAGAGUGUUUAAAGCAGGCUAACGCUUGAAUACAUUAGCAUGGAAUAAUGAAAUAGGACAUCGCAUUCUAUUUUGUUGGUUUCUAGGAUCGAUGUAAUGAUUAAUAGGGAUAGUUGGGGGCAUUAGUAUUCAAUUGUCAGAGGUGAAAUUCUUGGAUUUAUUGAAGACUAACUACUGCGAAAGCAUUUGCCAAGGAUGUUUUCAUUAAUCAAGAACGAAAGUUAGGGGAUCGAAGACGAUCAGAUACCGUCGUAGUCUUAACCAUAAACUAUGCCGACUAGGGAUCGGAUGAUGUUAAUUUUUUAAUGACUCAUUCGGCGCCUUACGGGAAAC
rnacentral:rRNA from 1 species